GACGAACGCUGGCGGCGUGCUUAACACAUGCAAGUCGAACGGAAAGGCCCUGCUUUUGUGGGGUGCUCGAGUGGCGAACGGGUGAGUAACACGUGAGUAACCUGCCCUUGACUUUGGGAUAACCUCAGGAAACUGGGGCUAAUACCGGAUAGGAGCUCCUGCUGCAUGGUGGGGGUUGGAAAGUUUCGGCGGUUGGGGGUGGACUCGCGGCUUAUCAGCUUGUUGGUGGGGUAGUGGCUUACCAAGGCUUUGACCGGUAGCCGGCCUGGGAGGGUGACCGGCCACGUUGGGACGGGGAUACGGCCCAGACUCGUACGGGAGGGAGCAGUGGGGAAUAGUGCACAAUGGGCGGAAGCCUGAUGCAGCAACGCCGCGUGCGGGAUGACGGCCUUCGGGUUGUAAACCGAUUUCGCCUGUGACGAAGCGUGAGUGACGGUAAUGGGUAAAGAAGCACCGGCUAACUACGUG
rnacentral:rRNA from 1 species